rnacentral:rRNA from 1 species
UAGGGAAUCUUCGGCAAUGGACGAAAGUCUGACCGAGCAACGCCGCGUGAGUGAAGAAGGUUUUCGGAUCGUAAAACUCUGUUGUUAGAGAAGAACAAGGACGUUAGUAACUGAUCGUCCCCUGACGGUAUCUAACCAGAAAGCCACGGCUAACUACGUGCCAGCAGCCGCGGUAAUACGUAGGUGGCAAGCGUUGUCCGGAUUUAUUGGGCGUAAAGCGAGCGCAGGCGGUUUCUUAAGUCUGAUGUGAAAGCCCCCGGCUCAACCGGGGAGGGUCAUUGGAAACUGGGAGACUUGAGUGCAGAAGAGGAGAGUGGAAUUCCAUGUGUAGCGAUGAAAUGCGUAGAUAUAUGGAGGAACACCAGUGGCGAAGGCGGCUCUCUGGUCUGUAACUGACGCUGAGGCUCGAAAGCGUGGGGAGCAAACAGG